UGGUUGAACUUUUAACAGACAGAGAUCUCAGCCGUUAAUCUCUUUCCUGAACCGUACCCGUAUCCUCGAGGGCCGAAUGGGUGAAUUCUGUCAAUUAGCCGCUCUAUGUGAAGUCGGUACACUUAGCAGUGUACAUUUGAAUGUGUUUUUAAGAUUGUCUACGAUUUGAUUGUCUGAUGGACCACAAUAGUGCAAUGUUAGGAUAAGGACGUGUAACAUGGAAUUGAUCGGGACGUGUAUCACGUGACUUGUACCCAACCAGACUGAUGGCGGAGACUCUACUGACCAAUUCCCGGCUGAUUACAGUGGAGGGUGGUGAUUUACUUUUACCCGUUUAUCGUCCGUUGAUUGCGCUGACCAUUUGUUAACCCUGACUCAUCAGGGAGAAAAGGAUUGUGCACGCGAAACACUGCCCCGAUUUGUUCUUUGUAAUAUUCAUUGCUGUUUGUUAAGUUUACAUUUUAUGAAGGGUGCAUGUAUUUCAUUGUCAUGUGUAAAAUCUUUUAUGAUUUAUGAUAAAAGUUAACACAAUG
rnacentral:misc_RNA from 1 species